AACGUAGGAGACAAACGUUAUCCGGAGUUACUGGGCGUAAAGGGCGUGUAGGUGGUUUCGUAAGUCUGGCGUGAAAUUUUUCGGCUUAACCGGGAAAGGUCGUCGGAUACUGCGGAGCUAGAGGACGGUAGAGGCGUGUGGAAUUCCCGGUGUAGCGGUGAAAUGCGCAGAUAUCGGGAGGAACACCCGUAGCGAAGGCGGCACUCUGGGCCGGAACUGACGCUGAGGAGCGAAAGCGUGGGGAGCAAACAGG
rnacentral:rRNA from 1 species